rnacentral:rRNA from 1 species
AUGCGGUAUGACGGUACCCUUUCGAAUAAGAGGUUGCUAACUCUGUGCCAGCAGCAGCGGUAAUACAGAGACCUCGAGCGUUAUCCGGAUUUACUGGGCGUAAAGCGUCUGUAGGGGGUUUGUUAAGUUCCAAGUAAAAUCUUAAGGCUCAACUUUAAGUUCGCUUGGAAAACUAAUAAACUGGAGUCCAGCAGAGGUGCAUGGAACUUGCGGUGUAGGAGUGAAAUCCGUUGAUAUCGCAAGGAACACCAAAGGCGAAGGCAUUGCACUGGGCUGGUACUGACCCUGAGAGACGAAAGCGUGGGGAGCAAAACGGAUUAGAUACCCGUGUAGUCCACGCCGUAAACGAUGGAUACUAGAUGUUCGGGGAUUCGACCCCCUGGGUGUCACAGCUAACGCGUUAAGUAUCCCGCCUGGGAAGUACGGCCGCAAGGCUAAAACUCAAAGGAAUAGACGGGGAUCCGCACAAGCGGUGGAGCGUCUGGUUUAAUUUGAUAGUAAGCAAUGGACCUCACCAAGGUUUGACAUCCUAUGACAACCCUGGAAACAGGGCUUCCUUCGGGCAUAGUGACAGGUGCUGCAUGGUCGUCGUCAGUUCGUGCCGUGAGGUGUUCCGUUAAGUCGGGAAACGAACGAAACCCUCGUCGCAUGUUACAAAUUUCAUGCGAGACUGCCCGGGUCAACCGGGAGGAAGGCGGGGAUGACGUCAGAUCAGCAUGGCCCUUAUACCUUGGGCUACACAGGCGCUACAAUGGCCGGUACAAAGGGUUGCAAAACCGCGAGGUGAAGCUAAUCCCAUAAAGCCGGUCCAAGUUCGGAUUGGAGGCUGCAACUCGCCUCCAUGAAGUUGGAAUCGCUAGUAAUCGUGGAUCAGCCAUACCACGGUGAUACGUUCCCGG